AGGAGGAUAGUGUGGCUGACUGACGUGGUGGGUCUGCGAGAAGACCGCGCGCAUGACGGCGACGACGUCCGUGGCCCUGGUGAAGUGCUGGAGGCCCAGGAGGCCCUUGAGCUGCUGCAGGCACACCACCGUGGCGGCGCCGCCCAUGAACCCGACGAUGGCGGCCUGCGACAGAAAGUCCACCACGAAGCCCAGCCUGAGGAUGCCCAGGCCGGCCUGGAACACGCCGGCGAAGAAGGUGGCCGUGAAGGCCAGGUGCAUGUACAGCUCCGGGUUCUCCGCCGGCGGCGCCUCCUUCCCCAGCAACGCAGGGAACAGCAGCGACCCCACCGCCGUCGUCCCCACCGCCAGGUCCCUGGAGCUUCCCAUCACCGCGUAUACCAGCGCCGGCACAAAGCUAGAUCCCAUGAUGGGCGGGAGAUCGGCGAGCUUGGCGUAGCUGAUGCCCUGGGGGACGGCGAGGCUGGCCACGGUGAC
rnacentral:rRNA from 1 species